CGUCGUCAGCUCGUGUCGUGAGAUGUUGGGUUAAGUCCCGCAACGAGCGCAACCCUCGCCGCAUGUUGCCAGCGGGUGAUGCCGGGAACUCAUGUGGGACCGCCGGGGUCAACUCGGAGGAAGGUGGGGAUGACGUCAGAUCAUCAUGCCCCUUACGUCCAGGGCUUCACGCAUGCUACAAUGGCCGGUACAACGCGGUGCGACACGGUGACGUGGGGCGGAUCGCUGAAAACCGGUCUCAGUUCGGAUCGCAGUCUGCAACUCGACUGCGUGAAGGCGGAGUCGCUAGUAAUCGCGGAUCAGCAACGCCGCGGUGAAUGCGUUCCCGGGCCUUGUACACACCGCCCGUCAAGUCAUGAAAGUGGGUAGCACCCGAAGCCGGUGGCCCGACCCUUGUGGGGGGAGCCGUCUAAGGUGAGACUCGUGAUUGGGACUAAGUCGUAACAAGGUAGCCGUACCGGAAGGUGCGGCUGGAUCACCUCCUUUCUACGGAGAAUAUGGGCGUGCAUGGUUUUGUGCACGGUUUUGUGGCUGGGGUUUGCCGAGUGCGAUGGUUUGUCGUCGCCGCCCUGGCUUGCUGGCGUGGAAGAGUCGUAUUGGAU
rnacentral:sRNA from 1 species